rnacentral:rRNA from 1 species
GCCAGCAGUCAUAUCACCCUGUAGCCCAAGACUGGUUGCCCACUGAAGCUAAGCAGGGUUGAGCCUGGUCAGUACCUGGAUGGGGGACCUCCUGGGAAAACUAGGUUGCUGCUGGAA